UGAUGCAUCUGGAAUGGUCGGGAUAGCUCAGCUGGUAGAGCAGAGGACUGAAAAUCCUCG
rnacentral:tRNA from 1 species